rnacentral:rRNA from 1 species
GAGGAGCUUGCUCCUCUGACGUUAGCGGCGGACGGGUGAGUAACACGUGGAUAACCUACCUAUAAGACUGGGAUAACUUCGGGAAACCGGAGCUAAUACCGGAUAAUAUAUUGAACCGCAUGGUUCAAUAGUGAAAGACGGUUUUGCUGUCACUUAUAGAUGGAUCCGCGCCGCAUUAGCUAGUUGGUAAGGUAACGGCUUACCAAGGCAACGAUGCGUAGCCGACCUGAGAGGGUGAUCGGCCACACUGGAACUGAGACACGGUCCAGACUCCGACGGGAGGCAGCAGUAGGGAAUCUUCCGCAAUGGGCGAAAGCCUGACGGAGCAACGCCGCGUGAGUGAUGAAGGUCUUCGGAUCGUAAAACUCUGUUAUUAGGGAAGAA